UUGCCAUCCCCGGGAAUCUCUUAGAAAUAAGAGAAGUGCCUCAUUAGAGGAGCCUGGUGACAGGUGCUGCAUGGCUGUCGUCAGCUCGUGUCGUGAGAUGUUGGGUUAAGUCCCGCAACGAGCGCAACCCUUGCCUUUAGUUGCCAUCAUUUAGUUGGGCACUCUAGAGGGACUGCCGGUGUCAAACCGGAGGAAGGUGGGGAUGACGUCAAGUCCUCAUGGCCUUUAUGACCAGGGCUACACACGUACUACAAUGGCAUGUACAAAGGGCAGCCACAGGGUGACCUGGAGCGAAUCCUUAAAACAUGUCUCAGUCCGGAUUGGAGUCUGCAACUCGACUCCAUGAAGUUGGAAUCGCUAGUAAUCGUGGAUCAGCAUGCCACGGUGAAUACGUUCCCGGGCCUUGUACACACCGCCCGUCACACCACGGGAGUUGGUUGUACCAGAAGUAGUUGAGCGAACCUUUAUGGACGCAGACUACCAAGGUAUGGCUGGUAACUGGGGUGAAGUCGUAACAAGGUA
rnacentral:rRNA from 1 species